rnacentral:rRNA from 1 species
GACGAACGCUGGCGGCGUGCUUAACACAUGCAAGUCGAACGGAAAGGCCCUGCUUUUGUGGGGUGCUCGAGUGGCGAACGGGUGAGAAACACGUGAGUAACCUGCCCUUGACUUUGGGAUAACUUCAGGAAACUGGGGCUAAUACCGGAUAGGAGCUCCUGCUGCAUGGUGGGGGUUGGAAAGUUUCGGCGGUUGGGGAUGGACUCGCGGCUUAUCAGCUUGUUGGUGGGGUAGUGGCUUACCAAGGCUUUGACGGGUAGCCGGCCUGAGAGGGUGACCGGCCACAUUGGGACUGAGAUACGGCCCAGACUCCUACGGGAGGCAGCAGUGGGGAAUAUUGCACAAUGGGCGGAAGCCUGAUGCAGCAACGCCGCGUGCGGGAUGACGGCCUUCGGGUUGUAGACCGCUUUCGCCUGUGACGAAGCGUGAGUGACGGUAAUGGGUAAAGAAGCACCGGCUAACUACGUG